rnacentral:rRNA from 1 species
AGGAAUUGGCGGGGGAGCACCACAAGGGGUGAAGCCUGCGGUUUAAUUGGAGUCAACGCCGGGAACCUUACCGGGGGCGACAGCAGAGUGAAGGCCAAGUUGACGACUUUGCUAGACACGCUGAGAGGAGGUGCAUGGCCGUCGCCAGUUCGUGCCGUGAGGUGUCCGGUUAAGUCCGGCAACGAACGAGACCCCUGCCCUCAGUUGCAACUAGGACGGGCAACUGUCUUAGGCACACUAGGGGGACUGCCGCCGCUAAGGCGGAGGAAGGAGGGGGCCACGGCAGGUCAGUAUGCCCCGAAUCCCCCGGGCUACACGCGGGCUGCAAUGGUGAGGACAAUGGGUUCCGACCCCGAAAGGGGAAGGCAAUCUCCUAAACCUCACCUCAGUUGGGAUCGAGGGCUGUAACUCGCCCUCGUGAACAUGGAAUCCCUAGUAACCGCGUGUCACCAUCGCGCGGUGAAUACGUCCCUGCUCCUUGCACACACCGCCCGUC